GCGGCAGAGGCUGGUCGUCUGAGCUUAGGCCGGUCAGGAGAGCGUAAACUCCGGACUCCUUCAGACGGCUCAGCGAGGGGCCAAGAGUGCCAUCCAUCCAUCCAUCCUUCCUCCUGAUCAGAAGAUCCAGGGCGCCCGGCAUGGAAAUCCAAUAAAGGAGUUUUGUGUUAACAAUAGCAAAUUCCUCCAGCAUCUGAGUUUUCUAUGUGACCGCCUUGUGUGCCAACAUGAAAGACGACUUUGCAGAAGAGGAAGAGGUUCAGUCCUUUGGUUAUAAGAGGUUUGGAGUGUCCAAACUGUGUUUAAAAAGGACUGUUGCUCUUGUGUGAGAACCUAGUCCUAUGCUGCCCAGAAGAUUGAUUUUAAACCAGG